AUUUCUGGCCUCCGUGCUGGAGCAUGCAGGGCUGGCUGCCACCAGGCCCUGGUCUGCCUUGCCCUCAGCUAACCCAGCACUCCCCAUCCCGUUUCCUCCCACAACAACAGCUUUAAUAUUUUAAAUAUUCAUGCUUCCUGAGCAUCCUCACCAGGACUGUGGCUUUGCUUGCCUUUCACAUCUGUUACUUCCUGAAGCUGUAGAACAGAGCAUAUGCAGAAAUAGGAAUGAGAUGAGAGGAGAUGGACUGCAAAUACCUUGGAUGUGAAGAAAGCUGAGCUCAUGCAAUGCUGGAAAGGAGAGAAAAGGAGAAUUUAUAAUUGCACAGCCCAAGAGUAAAACUUCAACAGCUCUUAGCCACUGUGUAGACAUGAAAAUCAAUCACCAACAGUAGCUCUGUCCUUAGGAAAGCUGGGUUCAUUAUACCCAGCUCUUAUAGAACAUUAAUUCUCUCUUAGAGGGAUUUACUGGCUCUACCUUUGCCAAUAAAUAAAAUAGAUCAAGGCUUUUUAUUCUGUCCAGAAUGGACAAGCUGCACAGGUUUCAUUCAUGAAAUUAAAAUUUCCUUCCUCCCCAAAUCUAUCUGAGCUUAUACCAUUUUAUGGGACUUUCCUGUACCCAGGAACUUAUUGGGAGGGUGAGUCAAAAAGCACAAGUGCAGAGCAGCAGCUGAGCUGUGUCCUUGUCCUUUUUGGUGUGCUGGUGUGUAGAUUGGGUCAUCCUAAAUUUAGUUAUCUAAACAUAAAUCUCAACUGCAUAAGCUCUAUCCCUGUGUUAUUAAUUACUUGAUGUAAACUUAUUGCAUCUGCAGGGUUACAGGAAGUGUAAGUGAACCUAACCCUGAUGACUUUUCUGCUUCUUUAAAUCCAGGUCAGUGGCAUCUUCCAUCCCUGGUGUUUUCUGAGCACAGGCACAGCUGUUCUGCUGCUCUCUCCUUUGCUUUCUGGAGAGUUCUUGAUGUUUGCAGCCAGCUUCUUUCUUCCCAAACCCCCUUUCCCUCCAUGAAUUAUAGAAUUGCUCUUAUUCUCUUGUUUAAAAUGAGAUUCAUGUGACCAUAUCUGAGUAAAUGCAACUUCACCUUUCUCCUCCUUUCUGCUUUAGAGAUUCCUAACCUCAAACCUACCACCAGGAUGUGAUGACUAGCAUCAUUUUCCCUGCUGGGUGGGUAGGUUGGCAUGAUCAUUUUAAUUUCUUUAGCUCCAUUUGGAAAAGAUUUUUGGAAAGUUUGUUUGUUUGUUUUAAUUACAGAGCCACCAAGAAGCUGAACUCAGGUGUUUUCACCAGACUUUGGGUAUCAAAUUUCUCUGCAGCACUUCCAUGUCUGAGGUCAGUUGUCCAGGUUUAAGGGCUUGCAGGUCUUCCCAGGAAAGUCUCCAGAAAGGCGAUUUUCUUUCAAAUCUGCAGUCUGAUUUCUUCCACUCUCCAAGUCCUGAUCCACCCAGCGAUAGAAAUGUUUUCAAGACUUCUGGUAAAGCUGGGCUUGGAAACCCACCAUGGACUUCUUGUGGCUGCUCAGAAAGUUCUAAAGCAUGAGAAGUCUCAUUUCUGCACUCAAAAGGGGAGGAGAGGCAGCUAUUUCUUUUUGUUUUGUGUUUUUUUCUUGUAAAAGAGAUCAGUUUACCCUGAUUUUACAGGAAUAGACAAGUGAUAUUUUUGAUUGAGGUACACGUUGUUGAUUGUUGAGUUUUUCCUCCUUCCUCUAAUAUGAUAAAAUAAAGCACAAUCCAAUGGCUGCCAAGGCAGAGCAGCCUUUGGGAUGCAAAGGUCUCAAAUUCAGGACUCUAAGUGUAUAUGUUACUUGCUAAAUUUGCUGUACAUAUCUUCCCUCACAUAUUCCACUUAGCAAAAAGCACCCUCA